AAGCAGAUGUUUGCCGUGUUGUUGGUCAGUUCUGAAAGUCUUGGCUAAGCUGAUGGCCCUUUGAACGCCUGGUUUGCUCCUCUCCCUAGGGCUGUCUGUGCUGGUGGGGCUCAGCUCUCACUUGUGCUCACCCACUGGUCCCGCUCUUCCGGCUGAACAAAGCAACUACAUCAGCACCAGUCAGAGCAUUGCCCUGGAGCAAAACUCUUUGUCCCUUUAUUCUUCAUGAGUACUCUAAAAGUGUCAUAGGACCAACCAAGAAGAGUGCCAGACACUGCUCAGAUACAUAACAAAAGGCAACUUCUAGCCCUCACAACUAAUAUUCUAGAUAAAACACAAAGACUUAGGUGGCAGAAAGGAGGACACCCAAGUGGAAUGAGCACUACCUUGGCUGGAAGGAUGCCACAGCUGUGGGAAGGAUGAGAAUUGAAGUCCCUUCAGAAGGGAGGAAAGGAGAGGGGGGAGCAAAAGCUACUUUUUUAGUUUUUUAUUUUUUUUAAAUCUUAGGAGGACUGAAUUUCUUCCACAAACACUGGCUGAAGAAAAGGAGAAGGGAGAGAAAUGAUAGAUUUCUGGCCAGACCACACUAGAGCUCCAGUUGGAAAAACCUGACAUUCUGUUUUCUAAGACGUCAGUUUUGCUAGCUUCUAUCAGCAGGGAAUCGAAAUUAUGUUGACUCAGGAGACCAUCCUGCAAAUCAAAUCAGAAGGGAGGACUUGGUACACAGGGCAAGGAUUUCAGUGUUUGAGUGAUUUAAGCCAGCACAUUAGGAGCAUUUCUGAAACUCUGAGAAGGGGAUGAACUGAAAGACCUAUCAGAAAUGAUAGGCUUAUGAAUGCUGAGAACAGAAAGAGUCUGGGGCCCCAAACUACUUACUCCCUUAUUUCUCAGUGCUGAGAGAAAGCCUUGUGAGAAGAGCCCCUGCUUGAGAAGUCCUAUGGAGAGAAAAUAUUAACCAGCGAGCAUUCCUGAGCACUGGGAUGACUGUCAUCAGCAUGGCUAGACUGAUAAGGAUGUAUUAGCAUUCAUCUGUUGAAAAGCUUUUGUAUGACUGGCCAGAUGGAUUGUUAUUGCACUGAUACUUGACACCUGAUCAAAAGGAUCUGGGAUAGCAGAGAUGCAGUGAUCCUAGAUGACACAGUGAAUCUCAGUCCAUGCUUUGUGCCCACUGGAUGCACUGGAAGAUGUCUGUGCUCAUGAGGAUGGUUGGCAACCAACAGCACCAGACUGCAGCAGGUAGAAGACCCCAUCCCUUGGCAAAUGGAAUUUGUGCGAGGGGAGGCUCUGCCCACAGCUUAGGAUGCGGAGAGAUCAGCUGCUUAGAAAUGUGGGUUGAAUCCCAGGACUGCUUUUGUAUGCUACCUGAAGUUUAGUAACUGCUGGUUUGGGGUUUUGUUUUUUUUUUUGUUUGCUUGUUUGUUUGCUUGUUGGUUUUGUCAACAGUCUAGAGUUUUGCUGUGCAGAUUUUCUACAUUCUAUUUUCUACUACUAUGAAAAUGUUCUUAUUUGCAAGGGUAUUUCCAAUGGGAGAUGCUUCGUCUCCAGGGUAACUUCUCUGAGAGUGGUUUUAAAAGUUGGUUUAUGGAGAGUACUGCAUCAUGUUUUGCAGUUUUUGCAGUUUUCAAACGCUGCUUCAGACAGUAAUAAAAAGAUGUUAUUCUUCUGAUG
rnacentral:lncRNA from 7 species